UUAGCAUAUCAAUAAGCGGAGGAAAAGAAACUAACAAGGAUUCCCCUAGUAGCGGCGAGCGAAGCGGGAAGAGCUCAAAUUUAUAAUCUGGCACNUUCGGUGUCCGAGUUGUAAUCUCUAGAAAUGUUUUCCGCGUUGGACCGCACACAAGUCUGUUGGAAUACAGCGGCAUAGUGGUGAGACCCCCGUAUAUGGUGCGGACGCCCAGCGCUUUGUGAUACAUUUUCGAAGAGUCGAGUUGUUUGGGAAUGCAGCUCAAAUUGGGUGGUAAAUUCCAUCUAAAGCUAAAUAUUGGCGAGAGACCGAUAGCGAACAAGUACCGUGAGGGAAAGAUGAAAAGCACUUUGGAAAGAGAGUUAACAGUACGUGAAAUUGUUGGAAGGGAAACGCUUGAAGUCAGACUUGCUUGCCGAGCAAUCGGUUUGCAGGCCAGCAUCAGUUUUCCGGGAUGGAUAAUGGUAGAGAGAAGGUAGCAGUUUCGGCUGUGUUAUAGCUCUCUGCUGGAUACAUCUUGGGGGACUGAGGAACGCAGUGUGCCUUUGGCGGGGGUUUCGACCUCUUCACACUUAGGAUGCUGGUGGAAUGGCUUUAAACGACCCGUCUUGAAACACGGACCAAGGAGUCUAACAUGCUUGCGAGUAUUUGGGUGUCAAACCCGGAUGCGUAAUGAAAGUGAAUGGAGGUGGGAACCGCAAGGUGCACCAUCGACCGAUCUGGAUUUUUAAUGAUGGAUUUGAGUAAGAGCACGUAUGUUGGGACCCGAAAGAUGGUGAACUAUGCCUGAAUAGGGCGAAGCCAGAGGAAACUCUGGUGGAGGCUCGUAGCGGUUCUGACGUGCAAAUCGAUCGUCAAAUUUGGGUAUAGGGGCGAAAGACUAAUCG
rnacentral:rRNA from 1 species